ensembl:snRNA U2 U2 spliceosomal RNA
AUCGCUUCUCGGCCUUUUGGCUAAGAUCAAGUGUAAUAUCUGUUCUUAUCAGUUUAAUAUCUGAUACGUCCUCUAUCCGAGGACAAUAUAUUAAAAAUGCGAGCCAGUGGUAAUUUUC